AAUAAAAAUAAGAAAAGAAAAGUUUAAAAUUUGUACCUUUUGUAUGAUGGUUCAACAAGGUUAUAUGAAUGAAAUUUUGUAACCCGAAGCUGAGCGAGCUAGUGUACUCUGCUUUAAGAGAGAGGGCUUUUACUGUUGCAAUAGUAAGGUUUGAGGGUACAAUAGGUGUGAAAUGCUUAUCGCGCUCAGGGAUAGCUGGUUUCCUUAGAAAUAGGUGUAAGCUUAGUGCGUAUUUUUACCGUAAUAGUAUUAUUUUAUGGAAUAAUAACAAUUGUUGUGGUAAUGGUAUGUCUGUAAGAUAGAAAGGGACAAGCUUUUCUGUCAAAAAAGAAAAAGCUUUAAUUAUUAAUAAAGGGUAAUUUUUAAAAAAUGUAUUGUAAUAUUGAUAAAAAGUAGGAUUAAUAGCAUCUAGCUUUGUAGAGGGCGUUAAAGCUUAUUUAUGCAGGACAAAACAAAGAAUUUUUAUAGGGUAAUCUUAAAUUAUAAAUAUUUAUAGGGAAAUUCCAUUAAUUUGGAAGUUAUAAUGUUGGAAUUAGUAGAGGCAGAAAUGUAUUCUUUGUGAAUUAAUCAAUCCUAACUAUUGGAUGGAAUAAUAAUCUACGACCGAGAAAUCAGUUUAUUUGGAUUGUCUACUAACACAAGUGAUAUAUUUAUAAGUUAAGUAAGGGAAAGGAACUCGGCAAAUAGAAACUUCGCCUGUUUACCAAAAACAUCGCUCUUUGUAAAGAGUCUAAUAUAUAAAGAGUCCUGCCUGCCCGGUGACUUAGUUAAACGGCCGCGGUAUCUUGACCGUGCAAAGGUAGCAUAAUCAUUUGCCUUUUAAAUGGGGGCUGGUAUGAAUGGCAAGACGGGAGUUAAGCUGUCUCUCUCUUAUAAUCUUGAAGUUAAUAUUUUUGUGAAGAAGCAAAAAUAAAAUCGUAGGACGAGAAGACCCUAUCGAGCUUUAGUAAAAAAGAUACAACUAGUAAUAGUGUCUUACUGCUAAACUAACCAUUAAUAGUGGUUAAUAAAAUUUACUGGUAUAGAUAGUAGUGUUGUGUAUUUUAUACUUAGGUUGGGGCAACCGCGGAGAAUAAGAAUCCUCCGCUAUAGUUUUACUGAGAAAAUAAUAUUUUUCCAGUAUAGGAUUUUGUAUAUAUAUAAAUGAUCCACUAAAUAGUGAGCAGAAGAAUAAGUUACCGUAGGGAUAACAGCGUAAUUUUUUUGGAGAGUUCAUAUUGAUAAGAAAGUUUGCGACCUCGAUGUUGGAUCAGGAUUUCCCAGGGAUGCAGAAGUUCCUAACGGUUGGUCUGUUCGACCAUUAAAAUCCUACGUGAU
rnacentral:rRNA from 1 species